AGAUCAGUUGGUAGAGCAUGGUGUUUGCAACGCCAGGGUUGUGGGUUCGAUUCCCAU
rnacentral:tRNA from 1 species